rnacentral:rRNA from 1 species
UACGUAGGGGGCGAGCGUUAUCCGGAAUUAUUGGGCGUAAAGAGUGCGUAGGUGGUUUUGUAAGCGUAGGGUGAAAGGCAGUAGCUCAACUACUGUUAGCCCUGCGAACUGUGAGACUUGAGUGCAGGAGAGGAAAGUGGAAUUCCUAGUGUAGCGGUGAAAUGCGUAGAUAUUAGGAGGAACACCAGUGGCGAAGGCGACUUUCUGGACUGUAACUGACACUGAGGCACGAAAGCGUGGGUAGCAAACAGGAUUAGAUACCCUGGUAGUCCACGCCGUAAACAAUGAGUACUAGGUGUCGGGGUUUAAAGACUUCGGUGCCGCAGUUAACGCAUUAAGUACUCCGCCUGGGGAGUACGCACGCAAGUGUGAA